rnacentral:rRNA from 1 species
AUGGUGUUUUCUUUGCAUACAGUAGCAUAUUUGUACAGUAGACAACUUCAAUGUUACAAGUACAAGGCAUUUCAUUCCAUAGGCUUCGGAGUUCGGACCAUCACUCACGGGAACACAUGCAAAGUGUUAACAUUUUCAUUGCAGAUCUUGAUUAAUUCUCCACAUGACACAGAUGCAGCCUGCGCACACAAAAAGGAAGGCAAAAUUCAGAUACAAAGAGUACUUUUCUUCUCUUACACUUCUAUGCUUUGCAAUCUUCAAGACCAUUGCUCUCUGCUGGUCCAUGUGAGGCUAUCUGCUUUGUUUCUUCCUUUUGGGCGACCCCCUUGGCUUUGCUUAGUAAUACAUGUUGGUUGCAGUUCGAUUUUGUGUGAAUAA